AGCAGUUGUGUGACUUUGAAAAUUCACCAAAAAUUAUGUAAGUUGAAUUAAAUUUAAAAUAAAUUAUGGAAUUAAAUCAUAAUGAGUCUAUUUUUAUAUAAAAGAAACAAGGGGAGAAAAAGAGUUUUAUAUUAUGUGAUACUCUAAUUUUUGUGAGAAAGCGUCAGAAUGAAUUUGAGAUCCCCUGUUAUGACUUGGAAAAAUUGUUAACAAUUUUAAAAAUAUAUUUAUGGGCUAUA
rnacentral:lncRNA from 1 species